ACGCUGGCGGCGUGCUUAACACAUGCAAGUCGAACGGGACUGAUUGAAAGCUUGCUUUUGAAAAGUCGUAGUGGCAAACGGGUGAGUAACGCGUAGGCAACCUGCUCUAAGAUGGGGACAACAGCCCGAAAGGACUGCUAAUACCGAAUGUUGUGAGUUUUCCGCAUGGAAGACUCAUUAAAGAUGGCCUCUACUUGUAAGCUAUCACUUAGAGAUGGGCCUGCGUCUGAUUAGCUAGUUGGUGGGGUAACGGCUCACCAAGGCGACGAUCAGUAGCCGGUCUGAGAGGAUGAACGGCCACAUUGGGACUGAGACACGGCCCAGACUCCUACGGGAGGCAGCAGUGGGGAAUCUUCCGCAAUGGGCGAAAGCCUGACGGAGCAACGCCGCGUGAAGUGAAGAAGGUCUUCGGAUCGUAAAGCUCUGUCGAAGGGGACGAACGUGGGUUCUAUCAACAACGGAACCUAAUGACGGUACCUUUCAAGAAAGCCACGGCUAACUACGUGCCAGCAGCAGC
rnacentral:rRNA from 1 species